rnacentral:lncRNA from 1 species
GAACCGGCUACACCGGAACAGAGUACCGCCAGCACAAGGGCACGAUGGACAGGAUCAAGGAUAAGCUGACUGGGACUGGUGGACAUAGGGUGGAUGAUCCCUACUCAUCUCAUUCUCAUAAAACCGCCACCACCACACCUUACGGUGGCACCACCACCACAGCUUACGGUGACAGCACCACCACACCUUCACCUUACGGUGGCACCACCACCACACAUUCACCUUACGGUGGCACCACCACCACAGCUUACGGUGACACCACCACCACACCUUCAGCUUACGGUGGCACCACCACCACACCUUCAGCUUACGGUGGCACCGCCACCACCACCUACCCCCGUGAAAAGAAGGGCAUCAUGGACAAGAUCAAAGAGAAACUUCCUGGUGGACAUCAUUAUUAAUAAUAGGGUUAUGUAAGAGAUAGAUACGUUAGGUAUCGUUUUGUGUUCAAUGUUUUAGUAUGACGUGUAUAAUAAGCGGUG